UGCAGUCGAACGAUGAUGCCCAGCUUGCUGGGUGGAUUAGUGGCGAACGGGUGAGUAACACGUGAGUAACCUGCCCCUGACUCUGGGAUAAGCGUUGGAAACGACGUCUAAUACUGGAUAUGAUCACUGGCCGCAUGGUCUGGUGGUGGAAAGAUUUUUUGGUUGGGGAUGGACUCGCGGCCUAUCAGCUUGUUGGUGAGGUAAUGGCUCACCAAGGCGACGACGGGUAGCCGGCCUGAGAGGGUGACCGGCCACACUGGGACUGAGACACGGCCCAGACUCCUACGGGAGGCAGCAGUGGGGAAUAUUGCACAAUGGGCGAAAGCCUGAUGCAGCAACGCCGCGUGAGGGAUGACGGCCUUCGGGUUGUAAACCUCUUUUAGUAGGGAAGAAGCGAAAGUGACGGUACCUGCAGAAAAAGCACCGGCUAACUACGUGCCAGCAGCCGCGGUAAUACGUAGGGUGCAAGCGUUGUCCGGAAUUAUUGGGCGUAAAGAGCUCGUAGGCGGUUUGUCGCGUCUGCUGUGAAAUCCCGAGGCUCAACCUCGGGCUUGCAGUGGGUACGGGCAGACUAGAGUGCGGUAGGGGAGAUUGGAAUUCCUGGUGUAGCGGUGGAAUGCGCAGAUAUCAGGAGGAACACCGAUGGCGAAGGCAGAUCUCUGGGCCGUAACUGACGCUGAGGAGCGAAAGCAUGGGGAGCGAACAGGAUUAGAUACCCUGGUAGUCCAUGCCGUAAACGUUGGGCGCUAGAUGUAGGGACCUUUCCACGGUUUCUGUGUCGUAGCUAACGCAUUAAGCGCCCCGCCUGGGGAGUACGGCCGCAAGGCUAAAACUCAAAGGAAUUGACGGGGGCCCGCACAAGCGGCGGAGCAUGCGGAUUAAUUCGAUGCAACGCGAAGAACCUUACCAAGGCUUGACAUACACCGGAAACGGCCAGAGAUGGUCGCCCCCUUGUGGUCGGUGUACAGGUGGUGCAUGGUUGUCGUCAGCUCGUGUCGUGAGAUGUUGGGUUAAGUCCCGCAACGAGCGCAACCCUCGUUCUAUGUUGCCAGCGGGUUAUGCCGGGGACUCAUAGGAGACUGCCGGGGUCAACUCGGAGGAAGGUGGGGAUGACGUCAAAUCAUCAUGCCCCUUAUGUCUUGGGCUUCACGCAUGCUACAAUGGCCGGUACAAAGGGCUGCGAUACCGUAAGGUGGAGCGAAUCCCAAAAAGCCGGUCUCAGUUCGGAUUGAGGUCUGCAACUCGACCUCAUGAAGUCGGAGUCGCUAGUAAUCGCAGAUCAGCAACGCUGCGGUGAAUACGUUCCCGGGCCUUGUACACACCGCCCGUCAAGUCAUGAAAGUCGGUAACACCCGAAGCCGGUGGCCUAACCC
rnacentral:rRNA from 1 species